rnacentral:rRNA from 1 species
CAGCAGCCGCGGUAAAACGGAGGGGGCUAGCGUUGUUCGGAAUUACUGGGCGUAAAGCGUACGUAAGCGGCUUUGUAAGUUAGAGGUGAAAGCCCGGGGCUCAACCCCGGAAUUGCCUUUAAGACUGCAUCGCUUGAAUCGCGGAGAGGUGAGUGGAAUUCCGAGUGUAGAGGUGAAAUUCGUAGACAUUCGGAAGAACACCAGUGGCGAAGGCGGCUCACUGGACGCGUAUUGACGCUGAGGUACGAAAGCGUGGGGAGCAAACAGGAUUAGAUACCCGCGUAGUCCCUGUCUCUUAUAC